rnacentral:rRNA from 1 species
UAAGGAAUCUUCCACAAUGGGCGAAAGCCUGAUGGAGCAACGCCGCGUGCAGGAUGAAGGCCCUCGGGUCGUAAACUGCUUUUAUGAGUGAAGAAUAUGACGGUAACUCAUGAAUAAGCACCGGCUAACUACGUGCCAGCAGCCGCGGUCAUACGUAGGGUGCAAGCAUUAUCCGGAGUGACUGGGCGUAAAGAGUUGCGUAGGCGGUUAGUAAAGCGAAUAGUGAAACCUGGUGGCUCAACCAUACAGACUAUUAUUCGAACUCACUAACUCGAGAGUGGUAGAGGUUACUGGAAUUUCCUGUGUAGGAGUGAAAUCCGUAGAUAUAAGAAGGAACACCAAUGGCGUAGGCAGGUUACUGGACCAUUUCUGACGCUAAGGCACGAAAGCGUGGGGAGCGAACC